UACAGAGGGUGCGAGCGUUGUUCGGAAUUAUUGGGCGUAAAGCGCGUGUAGGCGGUGAUGCAUGUCGAGUGUGAAAUCCCUCGGCUUAACCGGGGAAGUGCGCUGGAAACUGCAUCGCUCGAGUGCCGGAGAGGGUGGCGGAAUUCCGGGUGUAGAGGUGAAAUUCGUAGAUAUCCGGAGGAACACCAGUGGCGAAGGCGGCCACCUGGACGGACACUGACGCUGAGACGCGAAAGCGUGGGGAU
rnacentral:rRNA from 1 species